rnacentral:tmRNA from 1 species
GGGGCUGAUCGGUUUCGACGUCGAGAUCGGGAUCCCUCUGUGCGACCCGAGUUGCUCAGACUCGUUAAACAGGGCAACCAAAAGAACCGCCGACGGCGAGUUCGCUCUCGCAGCCUGACCUAGUCACGCUGUAGAGAGUCAUCGCGACCAGCAAUGGCACGCGGGGCCUGAUCACCGCAGCCCGGCAACAGAAGCGGUGGUGGACGGCGGGAGAGACCGCUGACCGCAGGGAAAGACCGCUGACCUCGGGGAAAGACCCGGCGGUGAGCGCCUCGUGCGCUCCAGCGACCCGGCGCUGAGGUAGCCGCAAGAGCCUCGAUCACGGGAACGGUCGUAGCGCGGUCGGUGACCGCUUGGCGGACGAGGGUUCGAUUCCCUCCAGCUCCACCA